CCCAGCUCUCUUGAAAAUGGAGGUGACAGCUCCCGCCCAGCGAUCCGGCCAAGGCUGAUAAGAUCACAUGUGGAAAGUGCUAUGAACUCCUUAGAGAUACGGCAUCCCUUAAACGCCGUUUUCUCAUCCUCUGCCACUUUUAAAUGCGGGCCUGCCUGUUGGGGCGGCCAGAGUCGGGGCAUCCACAGCCCGGGCAGCCCUCCCGACGGGGGCGGCCUCCUCCCAGCUCUCACCCUCCACCUCCCCCACUGCCCUACGGCCCAGCCUACGAAGAACUAGGAAAAACGUAAACAACGAGUAACGGCCACAAGCAUCCGCGGGGGCCCUCCUGGGUGCCGGGUAUCCCGCUAGGUGCUCUGUAUAAAGUGUCUCCUUUAAUCUUUACGACGCCCUGGGAGGGGGGUUACCACCACCACAUCCUGAAGAAACAGGCACAGGCAGCUGAAACGAGAUAGGGAACCCCAGUGCAGCCAGGUUUCCUGGGAUACCUGAUGGUUGCUCCUUGUAUCUGACAGUCCCAUGGCCUCUCGGAGGGGCCGAACAGGUCCUACAGACCGCCCGGUGGGAUACAAGCACUGCCAGCAAGGACCUGUUAAUAAGCCGCACUGGGAAGCAAGGACAGGUUGGUUUGUUUUUACAAAAGAUGACAUUGCUAAUCUGAUGAAAAUCUCAUUUAAAAAGAAAUCUGAACACUCAUCUAUCAACAGACAGAGUCUGGCGGCGUUACUGACUUGUCCGCCCCCCACUCUCAGCCUAGGCCUGGCCUCCUCUCUAGUGACUGGUGGUCAGCCUGUGUCAUCCAUCCCAGAGUUAAUUCUCUGGGACAGGCAGCAGAGAAAUGACAUGGGGUGAAGGGAAACAAUUCUGCAUGGUGCCCUCUCUCCUCUCUCACCCCACACGUUACUUCCUGGGUUUUCCAUGGGCUUCCAAUGUCUCUCUCCUCUAUCCAGUGCUUCCUACAAACAAGGAUCCUCACAAAAGCUCAGGCAACUCUACAUGCAAAUCUGUGACCCUUGUGUCUGGACAUGUUCCUUCCUCCUGUUUCACUUCCAUCAUCUGUAAAAUGUUGGAGAAGAGGACUGCUGGGAGGAUUUAAGGAGAAAAUAGAUCUUAAAAGUACCUAGCAUCAUGCCUACACAUGUAAAAAGUAGCUAUAAGCAGUGAUUUUUUUUUUUCCAGAAGCCUACAAUCGUUAUUCUCCCUCAGACUAAAACUCCUCCUUAUGGCUUUUAGGCUCCUCAAUAGGUGGAGCUGCUCCACAUAUUCAUUUAUUCUUUUGUGCAUCAACUAUGUAUUGAGCAUCUACCAUACACCAGGCUACAGCAGAUAAAACACUUGCCCUCAUGGAAUCUACACUAGAGUGGACAGAGAUUGAACAGUGAAUAAUAAACAAAUAAAGGAGCAAAGAUUUAAAAGAGGUGGAAACAGAACCAUCCAUCUAGACCCACAGCAAUGCCUCCUUCUCUCACCAAGUGUAAAUAAGAGUUGGUAAGUGACUGCCAGGCUUCUCCAGCGGCGCCCAGCUCCUGCGGGGAGGCAGACAGCACCAUCAGAGGCUUGAGAUGCUGCCAGCUUCACUCUCAGGGUGUGCGAAUACACUGUCACAUCUCAGCUCUCACUGGUUCACGGCUGUGACAGACGGGUUCCUGCAUGUGCAACACCCUCUCCCCUGCCACCCCCAACUUUAACACUUCCAGUCGAAAGAUCUCUUUCUGCACAGAAUAGCAGCUUUCAAGAAGAUGGAAGAAUCUGUACUGCUCCCACUUAAGAACUCAUCUAAUCAUGAGUGCACAACUGGGCUGGUGGAGCAGGGGUGGCUACUGAUCCUGAGCUGAUGACUCUGACCCUGGGCUAGGCACAGCACCCCCAGAAAACCACACCCACCCUCCAUCAGCACCUGAGGGUUGAUACAUUCUCUCUGGGCCGCCAGGAGUAAACCACCUAGCCUCUCUGGGCCUCUAUUUCUUCUUCUGCAAAAUGGGAAUGACAAUAAUGGGCUCCUGUGAGGACCAAAUGAGGCACCAUACCCACAAGCUUGCUUUGUAAACUCUCAAGCCCUCUGCUGAUGCACAGCAUCACUCCUCAUACUACCCUGGGGAUGUAAAAGACACUGUAAUCCUAGUCUUUUGAAAAGACUUACCAUGGAAACUAAAUAAUAAAAGCAAAAAGCUUAGUCCUAAGGCUUCCACUGAACCUGCUUCUAUUCACGUCCCUUUACACAUAGCCCCGUGAAGAUGGUGGUUGCACUCUGCUCCCACUGAGACACCUACUUUCUCUUUUGUAAGCUAGCAAGACAAUCGACCAGCCUCGGCAUGCAGCAAGCAAAGGCUCAGCCAGGAUGGCUCAAAAGCCUACAACUUAGAGAAAACUGCUUAACAGACCUCAAGUGCUUUCUUUAUUAACCCAACUGGUUUGGAGGACUUGAAAAGACAUCAGGGAAAAAGGGAGGAACAGAUGCCUGCCCCAAUUUCACACCUGUAGUCAGGCCGUGAUGUCUCCACACUGUUUUCAGAGUUUUCAUAGACUGGAAUCUAGUUCUUGAAAAAAGGUGGAGAUUUUCAUUGAAAAGGGAAUCGAAAUGGCAUCACAUCACUGAGGCCUUUUCUCCCCCUACAAACCCCCAAUUCACUUGAAAGGGACUCUGAAAGAGAAGAUUGUACAAGUAUAUUUUUCAGGAUGAACUGAACAAAGGAAUCCAUUCCAAUUUCAUCCCAAACUCAAGUCCAACAUUUUUUAGUUCCAGAUCUUAUUAGGUGACAUAGUUGGGUUUAUUUAUUUAUUUUUCCUCUAUUCCUCAUUCCUGUGUUCAGGGUCUGCCUUUAGAGGAGUGUUCUUCAAACAUUCCCAAGCAAGUGCCAGAAGUUGCUUUAGUAGGCUUGGGACCAACUUUGCAAAAUAAAAUCUCACAAUAUCACCAUGCACUCCUUCAGCCCCACUCCACCCUCAGCAAUGGUUCCAUCUAGUUUUGGCUAACUACAGCUUCUGGGUUCAAAGAGAAAAUGCAUGGAAUGAUUUUGCUGGCUUCCUCAAGAUGUCCAGGAGAGUCCACAUGAGUAAGUCCAAAGUGAAUAAGAAACACAUAAUCCAAUUUCUAUAUAAACAUACCUGGGCUUAAGAGAAAUAGAAAAGGUGCCUGGCUUAAGGUAUUCUACUCCCUCCACUUAAGAAAGAAAUCGUGUGAACCGGUAAAGCAGAUCAAAAACAUAAGCCCCGAAAAAAAAAAAAAAAAAAAAACAUAAGCCCC